GCUGUAAGUUUUUAACUCAUGAUGUGCGAGAGCAUUAACAUCAGUUUACCAGACCAACCAAAUCUCUUUAUAUGUGUAAAUGUCCAUCUCAGAUAUGGGUUUGUCUCACCUUUUUUUAUUACUUGUUUUGGUAAGUCUGAAUAUAUGGCUAACCCCCUAGACAAAGUGGCAGCUGCCAAACUCAUGACACCAAUAGGUGAGACAGAGGCUAAACAACAUUAACUGUUUAAAUCUAAAACCAGACUUUAAGUUAAGGCGAGGUAAUACAAAAUCUUUAUUAAAUUUGUCAUACAUUUGCAGUUCAAUUUUGUCUGAUCACAAAAAUAGCAUCAUGAAAAAUUGUGGUUUAACUUUACAUUUCAAAUAACUGGUCAAUAUAAAAAAUCUAAAUUAAUUCAUAAUUAAAACUAAUGCAGAAUAUUUUACAUAUGGUUGUCUUCUGAUGUGAUUGACUUUAUUGUUACAGCCUCUUCUUUUAAAUGCUCCAAAGUGUUUUUUACCAUAUUCACCAUAUUCUGGUGGAUGACUUCAGAAAAGCAGUAGCCACAAGAAGGCUUGUGCUCACAAAUCACUUAAUAUUAGGUGCCAGGGACUAAUGUUUUGAGAAAUCCCUUGGAGCAUUUCUAUAAUCUAAAGGUUCACAUUCACAAGCUAUAUAUAACCAUGAUGCUUCAAACCUGGACAACUAACUUUUGACGCUAAAUCAAAUCAGUUUACCAUUGAUUCAAAAAGGCUACCUUGGGAAAUAAAUAAAUAAGCAAGAUCUAAAAGCAUUUUUUCAGUUUUUAUCAUUAUGUUGCUGACUUCUUUGUCAUAAAUCUGUUAGUCACGAGCAACAGAUGAAUAUGGCUCUACCUUACCUUGUCCCAUGAUCUAUAACUUAAAACUUCUACUAUAUCCUUUCAUUCAAGUGGAAUGAAUAGUCAUCUUAAGUUAAAGAAGCUAGCUUAAUCUCAGAGGGCUGUUGCAUAGCAUAUUUCAAUCAAGUGUGUGUACAAGUGUGUAUGGCUGCAGUAUCACUUUUCACCACUAGGGGCCAGUACUGAGUUACCUCCCACAUACACACUUUAGCACACAAAUGUCGGUAAAUGUGUAUUCUGGGGUGAACCCUGAAAAUUUGACAGGGCACUAUUUUAACCAUUUUAUCACUGAAUAAUAGGUUACUUUUUGUGGGGUCCAGGAUUUUGGUCCCCACUUUAUUUUCAGUCCCCACGCUGUGAGUGGGCUAUCACAUCUCGGUACCAACAAUGUAUUAAAGACAAACACACACACACACACACACACACACACACACACACACA